UUUAAAGUCUGACCUGCCCUAUGAUUAUUUUAAAUGGCCGCAGUAUCUUGACUGUGCAAAGGUAGCAUAAUCAUUAGUUUUUUAAAUGAAAGCUGGAAUGAAUGGUUUGAUGAGAAAAUAGCUGUCUCAAUAUUAAUGAUUUAGAAUUUUAUUUUUAAGUUAAAAAGCUUAAAUAUAUUAAAAAGACGAGAAGACCCUAUAGAGUUUUAUAUAAUUUUAAUUAAAAAUUUAAUAGAUUUUUAUGAUUUUUUAUUGAUAUUAUAUUUUAUUGGGGUGAUAUAAAAAUUUAAAAAACUUUUUAUUAUAAAACCAUAAAUUUAUGAAUAUUUGAUCCUAAUUUUUAGAUUAUAAGAAAAAAUUACCUUAGGGAUAACAGCGUAAUUUUUUUUUAGAGUUCAAAUCGAAAAAAAAGAUUGCGACCUCGAUGUUGGAUUAAAAUUUAAUUUUGGUGUAGAAGCUAAAAAUAUUAGGUCUGUUCGACCUUUGAAAUUUUACA
rnacentral:rRNA from 1 species